UACACAUGCAAGUCGAGCGGACAUCUUCGGAUGUUAGCGGCGGACGGGUGAGUAACGCGUGGGAAUAUGCCCUUUGGUACGGAAUAGCCUCGGGAAACUGGGAGUAAUACCGUAUGUGUCCUUCGGGAGAAAGAUUUAUCGCCAAAGGAUUAGCCCGCGUUGGAUUAGGUAGUUGGUGGGGUAAUGGCCUACCAAGCCGACGAUCCAUAGCUGGUUUGAGAGGAUGAUCAGCCACACUGGGACUGAGACACGGCCCAGACUCCUACGGGAGGCAGCAGUGGGGAAUCUUAGACAAUGGGGGAAACCCUGAUCUAGCCAUGACGCGUGAGCGAUGAAGGCCUUAGGGUUGUAAAGCUCUUUCAGUGGGGAAGAUAUGACGGUACCCACAGAAGAAGCCCCGGCUAACUCCGUGCCAGCAGCCGCGGUAAUACGGAGGGGGCUAGCGUUGUUCGGAAUUACUGGGCGUAAAGCGCACGUAGGCGGAUCGGAAAGUCAGAGGUGAAAUCCCAGGGCUCAACCUUGGAACGGCCUUUGAAACUCCUGGUCUUGAGGUCGAGAGAGGUGAGUGGAAUUCCGAGUGUAGAGGUGAAAUUCGUAGAUAUUCGGAGGAACACCAGUGGCGAAGGCGGCUCACUGGCACG
rnacentral:rRNA from 1 species